ACGGGCCAGAGAGUUCCUGGUGGCUAGCUCACAGCGCCACGCAGACGACACCGCACGGAGGGGUCCCGAAGGCAAUCUGCACCUUAUUACCACUCUCUCGGUCGCCUUCACCUGGAAAUCCUAGGCCCACGGAAGCAAAGCUGGAGGCUGUCGGGAUCUGGGGGAGAGAGCGGCGAGCCUCUGGCAGCCUCCGCGCCGCAGCCCAGUCGGAAUUCGGCGCGCUUCUGCGUAACGUCAGCGCGCGGGGGAAGUAACUGCCUGGACUGGGGCAGUUCGCAGCUUCAGUGGAGACAUGGAAAACUCUAACAGGGAAAGCGAAGCAGAAACGCUAGGAAGCCUCACCGAAGGCGGCCUCUGCUCUUGGUUCCUGGCCUACCCCUGCAGAGCACAAACACCUUGGCUCCUGUUGUUUCCACAGUCGUUCAGUUAUUCUCACUAAAUGAUGAAAGUUGGUUAUACGUGACCUCUGCUCAUUCCCUGUGGAAAGAGAAAAGUCUCCACCCCGAAGAUAUAUUUUUAUUUGGAGGAAGUCACUCUUCGGGGGAAAAAUAAUUUUACUUCCAUCCCUUGUCAUCUUUGAAAAACCCUGGCACCAGAUGUUCCAACUCCUGCAAACAGCUGGAGAAAAACCAAGCGCUCUUUCAACUCCCUUUCAUUUCCUUCCUGCUCCACCGUUUUCUCCUUUUUGGGUCUCACGGAUUUCAGUCCAAUUUGUUUCCUAUUCACUAUCUGAAAUCGCUGUUUCCAGUACAACCUAGUGCCUCCUUUGGAAAUCAUUCACUUAACACCUGCUUUUGUGGGAAAAGGCAGCCUGGCUUUUGUGUUUUGAGGAGGCUCCAUAUAUCAACACAAAUAAAUA